UACGUAGGGGGCAAGCGUUGUCCGGAUUUAUUGGGCGUAAAGAGCGUGUAGGCGGUUUGGUAGGUCCGUUGUGAAAACUCGAGGCUCAACCUCGAGACGCCGAUGGAAACCAUCAGACUAGAGUCCGGAAGAGGAGAGUGGAAUUCCUGGUGUAGCGGUGAAAUGCGCAGAUAUCAGGAAGAACACCCGUGGCGAAGGCGGCUCUCUGGGACGGUACUGACGCUGAGACGCGAAAGCGUGGGGAGCGAACAGG
rnacentral:rRNA from 1 species